UGCAUGUCCACCUCCAACUACUCUCUAGAGCAACAAUCUGAAGACUGGGUUUCAAGCACACAGGACUUCAAGACAGCUUCAUCAGUCAGCAAGAAUCCGGUCAGCUCUACUGUUUUCCAUUCUUCUCCUCACCACCAAAAGAGAAAAGUCCCACUCUGCCCACAUCCCUGCCUUGCCCUUCAACUCCAAGCCGUAAGUAAGUGGAGAACAUGAAAGUGCAAUGAGGAGCAAGCCAGUUACCAGCACUCCUCAUGGCUUCUGCAUCAUCUCCUACCUCCAAGUCCCUGCCUUAAUGCUGAAUAGAGAUGUGGAAGAAUAAGCAAAAUAAGCUACCCAAGUUGCUUUUGUUCAUAGUGUUUCAUAUCAGCAAUAGAAACCCUGACAAAGACAACCUGCUCAGGUUGACUUGGAAUGCACUAAGUAUCCCUGCCCUAAAACUGAUCAUCUUCACGAUUCAGCCUGCCAUAAUUUCA
rnacentral:lncRNA from 1 species